rnacentral:rRNA from 1 species
CUGCCUACGGGGGGCAGCAGUGAGGAAUAUUGGUCAAUGGCCGCAGGGCUGAACCAGCCAAGUCGCGUGAGGGAUGACGGUCCUAUGGAUUGUAAACCUCUUUUGUCAGGGAGCAAAGGGCGCCACGUGUGGCGUUUUGAGAGUACCCGAAGAAAAAGCAUCGGCUAACUCCGUGCCAGCAGCCGCGGUAAUACGGAGGAUGCGAGCGUUAUCCGGAUUUAUUGGGUUUAAAGGGUGCGUAGGCGGAACAUUAAGUCAGCGGUAAAAUCGAGGGGCUCAACCCCUUUAAGCCGUUGAAACUGGUG